rnacentral:rRNA from 1 species
GUGCCACAGCCGCCGCGGUAAUACGGAGGGGGUUAGCGUUGUUCGGAAUUACUGGGCGUAAAGCGCGCGUAGGCGGACAUUUAAGUCAGGGGUGAAAUCCCGGGGCUCAACCCCGGAACUGCCCUUGAUACUGGGUGUCUUGAGUUCGAGAGAGGUGAGUGGAACUCCGAGUGUAGAGGUGAAAUUCGUAGAUAUUCGGAAGAACACCAGUGGCGAAGGCGGCUCACUGGCUCGAUACUGACGCUGAGGUGCGAAAGUGUGGGGAGCAAACAGGAUUAGAUACUCCUGUAGUCC